rnacentral:rRNA from 1 species
UCGGGAAUUUUGGACAAUGGGCGAAAGCCUGAUCCAGCAAUGCCGCGUGAGUGAUGAAGGCCUUAGGGUUGUAAAGCUCUUUUACCAGGGAUGAUAAUGACAGUACCUGGAGAAUAAGCUCCGGCUAACUCCGUGCCAGCAGCCGCGGUAAUACGGAGGGAGCUAGCGUUGUUCGGAAUUACUGGGCGUAAAGCGUACGUAGGCGGUGACUCAAGUCAGAGGUGAAAGCCUGGAGCUCAACUCCAGAACUGCCUUUGAAACUAGGUCGCUAGAAUCACGGAGAGGUGAGUGGAAUUCCGAGUGUAGAGGUGAAAUUCGUAGAUAUUCGGAAGAACACCAGUGGCGAAGGCGGCUCACUGGACGUGUAUUGACGCUGAGGUGCGAAAGCGUGGGGAGCAAACAGGAUUAGAUACCCCCGUAGUCCCUGAGCGGGCUGGCAAGGCGCAU